UUUAAGUGCAACCAUGAAUUUUCGUGCCUAACUUUAAUCGUUCGUCUUAUUUAAAUUUUUUUAUAAUUAGUAUUUUUAUUGUUAUGAGGUGAUAAAACAUGAAUAGUACUUUAUGCAUUUCUUGUUUUUAAUUUUUUUUCAAAUAAGAUGAAAUCAAAGUUUGACACGGAAAAUUAUGGUUGCAUUUAAA
rfam:Oryza meridionalis cultivar OR44 (W2112) chromosome 1, whole genome shotgun sequence.